AAUUUAUUAUCUUGAAACAGAAAAUUAUAGAAUAAUUAUUUAAUAGAUUUAAUUUAGUAAAACGAUGUUUAAUAGAAUAAUUGUUUAACAGAUUAAUUUAAUAGAUUAAUUGUUCAUAUUCAAAAUAAGUAUUUUCAAUAUCGAUUACGAUCUGAUCUUACGUCCUGAUAUUCAACGAAGGAAAUAUUAAAAGUGAGAAGAAAGAAGAAAGAAGAUAAACGUACGCAGGUUGUAAGGAACGUUAAUAGAAAUUUUACGAAUGUACUUCAGUUGUCGAUCGCGCGCAAUGCGAUCUUAGAGUCUAGUGUUUGUGCGAAAUAGUUUCAAUACUUUGCAACCGAAUACGUUGCAUUAAAAAUAAAAUAAAAUCGCGAAAUUAGAGUCAGUGUUGUUCACCUGUAACUUUAUCGACGAACGUAAAGCUUCGUUCGGAUGUAACAACAUAUUAGUCAACGAUUCAUCGAUCCAAAUGGAUUCAACGAUCGCUUUAGAGGAACGAGUGUUUUGGUGCCAUCGUAGAACUUCUUA